rnacentral:rRNA from 1 species
GAUCCUGGCUUAGGAUGAACGCUAGCGACAGGCUUAACACAUGCAAGUCGAGGGGCAGCACGGGAGUAGCAAUACAACUGGUGGCGACCGGCGCACGGGUGAGUAACGCGUAUGCAACCUACCUAUCAGAGGGGAAUAACCCGGCGAAAGUCGGACUAAUACCGCAUAAAACAGGGGCACCGCAUGGUGAUAUUUGUUAAAGAAGUUCGCUGAUAGAUGGGCAUGCGUUCCAUUAGGUAGUUGGUGAGGUAACGGCUCACCAAGCCGACGAUGGAUAGGGGAACUGAGAGGUUGGUCCCCCACACUGGUACUGAGACACGGACCAGACUCCUACGGGAGGCAGCAGUGAGGAAUAUUGGUCAAUGGGCGGGAGCCUGAACCAGCCAAGUCCGCGUGAAGGAAGAAGGAUCUAUGGUUCGUAAACUUCUUUUGCAGGGGAAUAAAGUGCGGGACGUGUCCUGUUUUGUAUGUACCCUGAGAAUAAGGAUCGGCUAACUCCGUGCCAGCAGCGGC